UGCCCUUUGUACACACCGCCCGUCGCUACUACCGAUUGAAUGGCUCAGUGAGGCCUUCGGACUGGCCCAGGGAGGUCGGCAACGACCACCCAGGGCCGGAAAGUUCGUCAAACUUGGUCAUUUAGAGGAAGUAAAAGUCGUAACAAGGUCUCCGUAGGUGAACCUGCGGAGGGAUCAUUA
rnacentral:rRNA from 1 species